AUUGAACGCUGGCGGCAGGCUUAACACAUGCAAGUCGAGCGGAGAGAGGUAGCUUGCUACUGAUCUUAGCGGCGGACGGGUGAGUAAUGCUUAGGAAUCUGCCUAUUAGUGGGGGACAACAUUUCGAAAGGAAUGCUAAUACCGCAUACGUCCUACGGGAGAAAGCAGGGGAUCUUCGGACCUUGCGCUAAUAGAUGAGCCUAAGUCGGAUUAGCUAGUUGGUGGGGUAAAGGCCUACCAAGGCGACGAUCUGUAGCGGGUCUGAGAGGGUGAUCCGCCACACUGGGACUGAGACACGGCCCAGACUCCUACGGGAGGCAGCAGUGGGGAAUAUUGGACAAUGGGCGGAAGCCUGAUCCAGCCAUGCCGCGUGUGUGAAGAAGGCCUUAUGGUUGUAAAGCACUUUAAGCGAGGAGGAGGCUACUUUAGUUAAUACCUAGAGAUAGUGGACGUUACUCGCAGAAUAAGCACCGGCUAACUCUGUGCCAGCAGCCGCGGUAAAAC
rnacentral:rRNA from 1 species